UACGUAGGGUGCAAGCGUUGUCCGGAAUUAUUGGGCGUAAAGGGUGCGUAGGCGGACUCUUAAGUCAGGGGUGAAAUCCUGGAGCUCAACUCCAGAACUGCCUUUGAUACUGAGAGCCUUGAGUUCGGGAGAGGUGAGUGGAACUGCGAGUGUAGAGGUGAAAUUCGUAGAUAUUCGCAAGAACACCAGUGGCGAAGGCGGCUCACUGGCCCGAUACUGACGCUGAGGUGCGAAAGCGUGGGGAGCAAACAGG
rnacentral:rRNA from 1 species